ensembl:lncRNA
UUCACGGCCAGUGGGCAAGAAUCUUCUCCAAGCUACCCAUAGCCAUGUUCGUCAUAUCUGAAAUGGAUAGUCAGAGUUGAUGAUGGAGUCAAGCCCAAGAAACAGAGCAGCCCAAGGAAAAUGUACAGGGCUGCUGUCUGGCAAACUCCACCCUUGCCUUCUCUGCACCCAGAACUUUGAACUGUCCCCUGGAUGCUAGGAUUCCACCCCUGCCAGAAUAGAACGCACGGCCAGUUCCUCGAUAACAAGGCAGGACCCUGUAAAAGUCAACAGCACUCUGUAGGGAAUCAACCCCAGUUUUAUUCUUUCUUGGCUGUGUGACUCUGGCAAAUGUGUCACCUUCCUGAGCCUCAGCUUCCCUACUUACAAAAUAAGGGUGAUCAUAAUUGUAGUACUGACGAGGACUGUAUGCCCAAUGCAGGCAAAACACUUAGAACAAAUGCCAGACCCAUAGGACAUGCCUGCCACAUACUAACUAUAAUAAUGAUGAAUUUUCUGUAUUGUCUCUUUAGGUCUUACAUCUUUAAAGCAGCAAGUCUGUCCCCUUCGUGCUCAUUGAGAAUAUCUGAUACCUUCAUGUUUGGACUCAUCCAGCCCCCAUCUCCUCAGUCUAUCUCAGAUCUGACAGUGGAGGCUGCUUUGUCCAGGACCAACCUUUUCUCUUGCCUCAUUUCUGCUAUGCCAGCUGAUGAAGAGCAUGCUAUGCCCUCAGCUUCUUGGACUUCACCCUGGCCCUGGAAGUCUGCCGGAAAUCACUGAGGGUUUCUGUAUUGUUGAAUGAUGCGAUCUGCCUUCCUUUGGGAAGAUAACCUUGUCCUGGGGUUAGGAAGAGGAGGAAGAGCUCUACACCCACCUGAUCUGUAAGUCAAGAAACUUUUGUUAUCAAAUAAUGCUCCUUUAUCCACCCACCUGCUUUGUUUAGUCCUUUCAUUCCUCCCAGGAACACAGCUAAGUGGUUCUAAUUCACAAACCUGGAAGCCAACUCCUUUUGUAGUCAGACAAUAACAGAUCCGGAUUCUGGCCACACACACACACACACACACACACACACAAAAGAACACCAGAAAUAAUGGCUGGGCUAAGAAACAAAGCCCCAGGUUGAGGCUCUUUCUUGCAUUCUCCUCCUGAAGCAUCUAUAAUUAGACUGGGGAGAAAUGAUUUCUUUAAUUCAUGCUAUUUCACGCAAGAUCAUUAGCAGUACUCGGCCGUAUCUUUAUUACUCCUGUGCACUCUACCUCCGUAACAGUUGAGAGCAACAAUGGGGCUUUACUUAUCUUCAGGAAGCCAGCCCAUUCUUUUGAGGAAGGAAAAAUGGCCCCAACCCCAGGUUGCCAUAGACACUGGAGAAGGCUGUCGCGGAGCUGCGAGAUACCUAUUUCCUGGUGACAUGCAGAAUUAGAGGUAUUGGGGAAUCAAAGCGAAAACUAGCCUGAAGAACAAAGGGUCCCUUCAGCUUCUCCUCACAUACUUCUUUGCAGAAGCAGCCUCCCCGUGCUUCUUCCCCUUCUCCCCCCUCCCUGAAGCCAGGUGAAUGAAUUUGAAUCCCAAGGAUGGAGACAGUAACCUCCAUGCUUAGCUCAAAGUCAAAGACCUUCCUUAAAGCGCAUCAGUGGUUUCCCGUGGUUCCAAACUUCCGACAUACCUUCAAGCCUGGAAGGUCUGUCACCUGCCAGCAUCUCCAUAUUCCUUAGUCCCUCAUCUUCUGCCCAUACUCUCCUUUGAGUUCAUGAACUUGUAACCUGUUUUCCCACGUAGCUGA